rnacentral:rRNA from 1 species
UGGCGGACGGGUGAGUAACGCGUGGGUAACCUGCCUCACGCUGGGGGACAACAGUUAGAAAUGACUGCUAAUACCGCAUAAGCGCACAGGACCGCAUGGUCCGGUGUGAAAAACUCCGGUGGUGUGAGAUGGACCCGCGUUUGAUUAGCUAGUUGGUGGGGUAACGGCCUACCAAGGCGACGAUCAAUAGCCGACCUGAGAGGGUGACCGGCCACAUUGGGACUGAGACACGGCCCAA